rnacentral:rRNA from 1 species
GACAGAGGGUGCAAACGUUGUUCGGAAUUACUGGGCGUAAAGCGCGUGUAGGCGGCCAUCUAAGUCGGGCGUGAAAUCCCACGGCUCAACCGUGGAAGUGCACUCGAAACUGGAUGGCUAGAGUCCUGGAGUGGAAGGUGGAAUGCUUGGUGUAGAGGUGAAAUUCGUAGAUAUCAAGCGGAACACCGGUGGUGAAGGCGGCCUUCUGGACAGUGACUGACGCUGAGACGCGAAAGCGUGGGGAGCAAACAGG